GCGGUGUGUGGCAAGACAACCUUACUUGCUGAAGUGGCCAGAAAUACACCCUGUGAUGUCAUUGUGUUUGGCUUGAUUGGUGAACGUGGUCGUGAGCUGGGUGAAUUCCUUCAGCAUGAACUGGAUGAAGAACUUCGAUCGCGAACGGUAAUGGUCUGCGCCACCAGCGACCGAUCCAGCAUGGAACGCGCUCGCGCAGCUUUUACCGCCACAGCGAUCGCGGAAGCCUUCAGGGAUAAAGGGCAGAGUGUGUUAUUGAUUAUCGAUUCUCUGACCCGUUUUGCACGGGCGCAACGUGAAAUCGGCCUGGCAUUAGGUGAACCGCCUGGUCGCGGUGGAUUACCCCCUUCGGUUUAUACGCUCUUACCGGGCUUACUGGAACGGGCAGGGAAGACCAGUCGCGGUUCAAUUACCGCGCUCUAUUCCGUUCUGAUGGAAGCGGACUCAACAAAUGAUCCGGUUGCCGAUGAAGUCCGUUCGCUGAUUGAUGGCCAUAUUGUGCUGAACCGGAAACUGGCAGAGAAGGGACACUUUCCGGCGAUCGAUGUGUUGGCGAGUUUGUCCCGAACCAUGUCAAAUGUGGUUGACCCGGAACAGAUGGCAUUAUCAAGAAAGUUUCGGCAACUGAUGGCCGCGUUUAAUCAGGUAGAUAUGCUGAUUCGUCUGGGUGAAUAUGAACCGGGUAACGAUCCGCUAACCGAUGCGGCGGUUCAAUCUCAGAUGCAAUCAAUGCCUUUCUUCAGCAAUCGAACCAUGACCCUGAACCUUAUAUUCACAUGCUGAUAAACUGGAGGACACCGUUCGUGAUGCCGGAAUCUGAUGAUGAAAUCGCUGAACCGAACCCGCUGAUUGAUACGAUUGAAAUCCUGCUUCCUUGCGUUCACGAAAGUUAUCCCGACUGAAACGAAAGCUCAUGGAAGAGAAACGCGCGUUAGCUGAAAUGGAACGCGAACUGAAGAAAGGCGAAGAUAAGCUGAUUCUGUUUCGGCAGCGAUAUAAACAAUCCCUGGAUGAUUUUAACCAUCAUCAUACGGGUGUCGUUUUACUUCACGAAAAACUUCAUCUGACACUCGAAGCGGAAAAGCUGACGCGCGGACGUUUACUCCGACAGGAAGAAGAUAAUCACACGCUGACUCAACGCAUCAUUGAGCAACAGGAAAUCAUUGAGGCUGCUGAUCGUGACGUGAAAGCCUGUCAGGUUGAAAUUGAUAAACUGGAAUAUAUUCUUGAAGAAAAGGAAUCGCUAUGAAACACCCGAUAAAACAUCCGCCGGUUUCCCAUAAGCCUGAACCGGUAAAGCAACCCGAUCGCUCACCGUUAAAAAGCAACAAAGAGAAUCGACCGAAAUCAUCUCAACCGACAAAAAAAGAAGCCCAGGAGUUCCAUCGCCUACUUCAGGAUGAUCCUGAACUUCAUCAGGAACAGAUGGGGGAACUUCUGUUUUAUUUUCAGGAUGUGCCGCCUGAAACGCUGGAGGAAUCACAGGAACAACAUCAACGUUUUCAGUCGAUGAUGCCGGAUCUGGGCGAUGAAAUUGAACGUCAAGAAAACAUUCCGGCUGAAUUUUCCUUGAUGCUCCCUGAAACCGGUGAAGUGCUGGCAAGGC
rnacentral:rRNA from 1 species